UACGUAGGGGGCUAGCGUUGUCCGGAAUCAUUGGGCGUAAAGAGCGCGUAGGCGGCCAGACAAGUCCGGUGUGAAAGUCACAGGCUCAACCUGUGAAUGCCGCUGGAAACUGUCUGGCUAGAGUCCGGAAGGGGCGAGUGGAAUUCCUGGUGUAGCGGUGAAAUGCGCAGAUAUCAGGAGGAACACCGGUGGCGAAGGCGACUUCCUGGCCUGUUCUUGACGCUGAGGCGCGAAAGCUAGGGUAGCAAACGGG
rnacentral:rRNA from 1 species